rnacentral:rRNA from 1 species
CUAGUUGGUGAGGUAACGGCUCACCAAGGCAACGAUGCGUAGCCGACCUGAGAGGGUGAUCGGCCACACUGGGACUGAGACACGGCCCAGACUCCUACGGGAGGCAGCAGUAGGGAAUCUUCCGCAAUGGACGAAAGUCUGACGGAGCAACGCCGCGUGAGUGAUGAAGGUUUUCGGAUCGUAAAGCUCUGUUGUUAGGGAAGAACAAGUACCGUUCGAAUAGGGCGGUACCUUGACGGUACCUAACCAGAAAGCCACGGCUAACUACGUGCCAGCAGCCGCGGUAAUACGUAGGUGGCAAGCGUUGUCCGGAAUUAUUGGGCGUAAAGGGCUCGCAGGCGGUUUCUUAAGUCUGAUGUGAAAGCCCCCGGCUCAACCGGGGAGGGUCAUUGGAAACUGGGGAACUUGAGUGCAGAAGAGGAGAGUGGAAUUCCACGUGUAGCGGUGAAAUGCGUAGAGAUGUGGAGGAACACCAGUGGCGAAAGCGACUCUCUGGUCUGUAACUGACGCUGAGGAGCGAAAGCGUGGGGAGCGAACAGGAUUAGAUACCCUGGUAGUCCACGCCGU